GUGAAUAUAGGACGUCCAACUUAACUUGGAGUCCGAACUCUCACUUUCUAACCCUGUGCACUUGUUUGGGAUAGUAACUCUCGCAAGAGAGCGAACUCCUAUUCACUUAUAAACACAAAGUCUAUGAAUGUAUUAAAUUUUAUAACAAAAUAAAACUUUCAACAACGGAUCUCUUGGCUCUCGCAUCGAUGAAGAACGCAGCGAAAUGCGAUAAGUAAUGUGAAUUGCAGAAUUCAGUGAAUCAUCGAAUCUUUGAACGCACCUUGCGCUCCAUGGUAUUCCGUGGAGCAUGCCUGUUUGAGUGUCAUGAAUACUUCAACCCUCCUCUUUCUUAAUGAUUGAAGAGGUGUUUGGUUUCUGAGCGCUGCUGGCCUUUACGGUCUAGCUCGUUCGUAAUGCAUUAGCAUCCGCAAUCGAACUUCGGAUUGACUUGGCGUAAUAGACUAUUCGCUGAGGAAUUCUAGUCUUCGGAUUAGAGCCGGGUUGGGUUAAAGGAAGCUUCUAAUCAGAAUGUCUACAUUUUAAGAUUAGAUCUCAAAUCAGGUAGGACUACCCGCUGAACUUAAGCAUAUCAAUAAGCGGAGGAAAAGAAACUAACAAGGAUUCCCCUAGUAGCGGCGAGCGAAGCGGGAAGAGCUCAAAUUUAUAAUCUGGCACCUUCGGUGUCCGAGUUGUAAUCUCUAGAAAUGUUUUCCGCGUUGGACCGCACACAAGUCUGUUGGAAUACAGCGGCAUAGUGGUGAGACCCCCGUAUAUGGUGCGGACGCCCAGCGCUUUGUGAUACAUUUUCGAAGAGUCGAGUUGUUUGGGAAUGCAGCUCAAAUUGGGUGGUAAAUUCCAUCUAAAGCUAAAUAUUGGCGAGAGACCGAUAGCGAACAAGUACCGUGAGGGAAAGAUGAAAAGCACUUUGGAAAGAGAGUUAACAGUACGUGAAAUUGUUGGAAGGGAAACGCUUGAAGUCAGACUUGCUUGCCGAGCAAUCGGUUUGCAGGCCAGCAUCAGUUUUCCGGGAUGGAUAAUGGUAGAGAGAAGGUAGCAGUUUCGGCUGUGUUAUAGCUCUCUGCUGGAUACAUCUUGGGGGACUGAGGAACGCAGUGUGCCUUUGGCGGGGGUUUCGACCUCU
rnacentral:rRNA from 1 species